UAUUGCUUUUUUAGACAGAAAAAUAUACGUUCGAGAAAAAAAAAAGCGACAGAAGAGAAAAAAAGCGACAGAAGAGCGACUUCUUCAGGGCUCUGGUGUUUGGCUUCCUGCCAUCACCGGAAGCUCCCUUUCCCCUUUUUCUUUGUUUUGUUUUGCUUUUUUCCUUCCUCUCUUCAUAGAUAUCGAUAUGAUUGGUGUUCUGGUGGUGUAUCUUCGCGGCGGAACCCUAGAUCUGCUUCGGGGAGAGCUAGAUCCGGCCGUAUGAAGCUCUGAUCUGGAAUAUCAUCGAGGCGUCCAUGAGUUUGGAGGUAGACGAGUCGGCUUUUUAGGUUUGAUCCCGACAGAUCUCGUUUUCACUUUUGUAGAUCUGCUCGGGGUCAUCCGUGGUGGCAGCGCGUGAGGUAAGGGACGACUCUCUCUCAUGUUCUUCAAGGUUACAAAGCGGCGGUGGUCGUUUUGAAGUGGCGUUGUGCGCCGGGAGUGGUACGGUUGGCUUCCUUUUGACUUGAGACUUGGUGUCUUGUCUCGGGAAUGGGGUUUGCUACUGUUCAAGGGAGGUGGCAGUUGUGGUUGUCGGUGCGCGCCCAGUCCUUUUGGCGGUCGUGUGUCUGCGAGAUGUCUUGGGUGUUGUGAUUGCUUGCUGUCCGUUUCCUUUUCCGUGAAUGCGUCUGGUAAGUUUCGGUUAGUAAGGCUUUGUCUUCGUGGGGUUUUGGUUGAGCUUCUAUCUAGGACUAAAUGGACGAUUAUGAUUGCGUCGCAUCCGUAUCCGAAGGUUGAGUUGAUCGAGUUUCGAUCCUUCUUGUCGGGUUAUGAAGUCUCAGGUUCUUGGGCGUUAUUGUUGGCGUGCGUAGGCAGCAGCAAUAAGUCGUGGUGUGGGUGUAAGAAGUGGAAGUUAUCGUGUGGCGGGGCUAUGUGCAGCAACGGUAUUUCCCGAUCAUUGGCAUGGGUUUAUUUCUUAUGUCUGAUGAGUUGAUAUGUUCCAGUUUCGAAUGUAGUAGUUAAUCGUUGUCCAGGGUUUUGUUGCGGUUUUAGUCUUUAUGUUGUGUUUCAGUAAGUUGCCCCGGUGUGGGUUCUAGUUGCCGCUUUCUAUGGGCUCUUGUUUCUGGGGCUAUCCUGUUAGACCGCCAGCUUAUGUAUGAACUCUUGUAUUUCAGUUUGGGAUGAAUAUCACGAAAAAAAAAGACAGAAAAAUAUA